rnacentral:rRNA from 1 species
GCUUACGGCCAUACCACCCUGAAUGCGCCCGAUCUCGUCUGAUUUCAGAAGCUAAGCAGAGUCAGGCCUGGUUAGUACUUGGAUGGUAGACCGCCUGGGAAUACCAGGUGCUGUAAGCU